CGGCGCCGCCAUCGUGCCUCCCGUUAAAGCUUUGAAACCCCAGAAUCCUGUUCUCUGGAAGGUUACCAGGUGGCGGCUGACAAUCUCUUAAGUCGCGACUGAGGCUGCGCACGGGUCACUAGGGAUGGGAAGAGCUUUUACCACCGUGAGGGUGUAUGGUAGGGCGAUUGUAGGUUAAAGGCGCCGAUCCAGGAUAAAAGGGAAUGGUCAGUGUGAGAAACAGUCAAGUAUGUCUAGUAUGGUGACCGGGGACUACGGUGGCCUAACUGRAUCAGUUAUGGGUACCUGUAAGGGUCAAUGUCGAAGGGACUGAGGGGUGCUGUGAUUGGGUUCCGAGUCUCUUGGGGGGGAGCCGUAGUGGGGGAUGGAGGUUUGUAGGAGUCAGUGUCAUGGGCUCUGUGAAGAUGUUCUGCGAAUGUAUUGGAAUUAAUAAACGAAGGUUCUUUGAAGUGUCUUGAUUGGCAGGAUGCGUGUGUUCUUUCUGGGAAAAAUAAUGACAUGUCCAUCUGUGACAGCAUCUCACAGUAUGCCUGGUUUCUUACUUGGACGCAACCAAGAUGGGUGUGACCGCGCCUGUGGUUAGACAACAAAGAAUUUACUGAGUUCCCAGGUGUCCUGCAGAUGUUUGGAUCCUGCCAUCUUGCUGGACAGUAGGGCUAUCCAGCUCCUGCCAGCCCUCAGGGCCACAGAAAUUCAUCCACCUCUGCAGAAGACCCCACCAGUGUCUGCAGCUAAGGGUGAGUGAAUGCUGUGAGAUGAAACUGUCAGGGGUUGGC
rnacentral:lncRNA from 1 species